rnacentral:rRNA from 1 species
CCCUUAGAUGUUCUGGGCCGCACACGCGCUACACUGAAGGAGGCAGCGUGUACUCCUGGAUCGAAAGAUUUGGGUAACCCGCGAAUCUCCUUCGUGCUAGGGAUUGAGGUUUGCAAUUAUCCUUCAUGAACGAGGAAUUCCCAGUAAGUGCAAGUCAUAAGCUUGCGCUGACUACGUCCCUGCCCUUUGUACACACCGCCCGUCGCUACUACCGAUUGAAUGAUUUAGUGAGGACUUCGGACUGGGACCGAUGCGGCUUUCGGGCUGCGUCGGUAUUCUGGAAAGAUGUCCAGACUGUAUCAUUUAGAGGAAGUAAAAGUCGUANCA